rnacentral:rRNA from 1 species
GCCUUAGUGGCGCACGGGUGCGUAACGCGUGGGAAUCUGCCCUUGGGUUCGGAAUAACAGUUAGAAAUGACUGCUAAUACCGGAUGAUGUCGUAAGACCAAAGAUUUAUCGCCCAAGGAUGAGCCCGCGUAGGAUUAGCUAGUUGGUGGGGUAAAGGCCCACCAAGGCGACGAUCCUUAGCUGGUCUGAGAGGAUGAUCAGCCACACUGGGACUGAGACACGGCCCAGACUCCUACGGGAGGCAGCAGUGGGGAAUAUUGGACAAUGGGCGAAAGCCUGAUCCAGCAAUGCCGCGUGAGUGAUGAAGGCCUUAGGGUUGUAAAGCUCUUUUACCCGGGAUGAUAAUGACAGUACCGGGAGAAUAAGCUCCGGCUAACUUCGUGCCAGCAGCCGCGGUAAUACGAGGGGAGCUAGCGUUAUUCGGAAUUACUGGGCGUAAAGCGCACGUAGGCGGCUUUGUAAGUUAGAGGUGAAAGCCCAGAGCUCAACUCUGGAAUUGCCUUUAAGACUGCAUCGCUUGAAUCCAGGAGAGGUGAGUGGAUUCCGAGUGUAGAGGUGAAUUCGUAGAUAUUCGGAAGACACCAGUGGCGAAGGCGGCUCACUGGACUGGUAUUGACGCUG